CACCAGCGAUCGUUGAGGUCAAAUUUUUCUCUUUUUCCCUUGGAAGCCGCAGCACCCUCUUCUUGUGUUCGUCGGAAAUCGAAGGUCGAGGAGGCCACUGGAGUUCAGGUAAGGGUUCAAUCUUCCUUCCUCUCCCUCUUUUCUUUCUCUCCAUGAUUUUAGACCCCUCGCCGGCCAUCGGGAUCACCAGAAAAUCCAUGAAGUGUGAAACCCCUAUUUGACCGGCCACGUUUCUCUCUUUUCCGGCCACCGA
rnacentral:lncRNA from 1 species